ensembl:snRNA U4 U4 spliceosomal RNA
AGCUUUGCGCAGUGGCGGUAUCGUAGCCGAUGAGGUUUAUCCGACGCGCGAUUAUUGCUAAUUGAGAAAUUCAGUGUGUGCUGCCCAGGACGGUAGCUACUAGCCACAAAUGACUGUUCAAAUUUAACUUAAAUUGAUUGAAAUGAAAUAAAAUUAAAAAUU